UAAAAGGUUCCAUUUCAAUCAAAAAAGAUCUUAAGAGCUUCCAUCGAGCAAGCAUCAGCAUUUGGGCAUCUAAAUGAAAUAUAAAUACUAGCUUAUUUAACUCCGCUUCCUCCCAAAUUAAACCAAAAAAAAAAACCCCAGCGCACUUCUCUCUCUCAAACCACCUCUCACACCCCUCUCUCUCUCCCUCUUUUUGUUGCGUCUUUGGAUCAAAAAGCUUGGUAGUCUAAGGGUUGGUGCUGGUAAUUUGGUAUGCAAUUUUUUGAGCCAGCGUUUUCACAUUCGUGGCCGAGGACUUCAUUGCGCACGUUAAAUUUGGGUUUAUUGUAAUGGAAUCGAAAGGAAGUGAAAUCGAUGAAUUUGAAAAGGCAUUGGAAUCUGCCUUGGAUGGAAGCACAGAAGAAGAGGAAGAAGAUGAAAACGAAGAAGGAGAAUAUAGUGAUGACGAUGAAGAGGAAGAAGAUGAUGAUGAUGAAGAAGAAGAAGAAGAAAAUGCUUUGGAUUCAAUGGAACAAAAUCAACAAUUUGAAUAUGAAGCUCUCGCCGAGAAAAAACGAAAAACACUUGCUGAUGCCAAGGGUGAAGGGUCAGCGAAGAAGGCAAGGCAAGAGGACAUGACUGGAGCUAGCUUGGCUGAAAUAGAGGAGAUAAUGAAUUUUGGUAUGCGAAAAAAGAGACGACGACGAAUGCCCAAGAGAAGAGGCAGGCGGAAGGGAUCAAAAAACAAACUUAGCCCUGAAAUUACACGGAUGUUGGGUGAUGCUACUCUUCACUAUGCUCAUGGUAAUUAUGAAGAGGCUUUAACAGUUUUGAGUGAGGUUGUUAAACGAGCACCGCUAGUGGCUGACUCAUACCAUACACUUGGACUUGUCCAUAAAGCCCUUGGAAAUACUGAAAAAGCCAUGAAAUUUUAUAGGAUUGCUGCAUUUCUGAGACCGAAAGAUUCAUCUUUGUGGAAACUACUUUUUAGCUGGCACGUAGAACAAGGAGACAUAGCUCGAGCAUGGAAGUGCCUUUCUAAAGCUAUAAGUGCUGAUCCUGAUGAUAUUAGUCUAAGAUCCCUUCAUGCAUUAUUUUACGAUGAACUUGGAGAUCAUCAAAGAGCUGCUGAGUCAUAUGAACAAAUUGUUCGAAUCUGUCCUGAGGAUGUUGAAGCAAUAAAGACAGCUGCAAAGAUGCACCUCAAUUGCGGUCAGAUUAAACGAUGUGUAGGCAUUUUGGAAGAUUAUCUCAAGGGUCAUCCAUCUGAAGCUGAUUUAAGUGUAAUCAUUUUGCUGGCUGAUGUUUUCAUGGAAAUUGAUGCACAUAAUAAUGCUCUUCAGCAUAUUGAGCGUGCUCAGAUGAUCUACUAUUCAGGAAAAGAACUGCCUUUGGAAUUAAUGAUUAAAGCUGGAAUCUGCCAUGUUUUCCUGGGAAAUAUUGAGAAGGCAGAGAUUCACUUUAGUGCACUACAACAGGAGAAUUUCUCCAUUCAUCCUGAAUUCAUUACUAAAGUUGCUGAUGCAUUUAUGAGUACUGAGUGUUUUCACUCUGCGUUGAAGUAUUAUCAUAUGCUGGAGGUUAAUGUUGGAGCUGACAAUGAGGGCGAAAUCCAUGUGAAAAUUGCUCAGUGUUACUUAUCCUUGAAUGAUCGUGCAAAAGCAAUUAUGUUCUUCUACAAAGCUUUGCCCAUGCUCAAAGAUAGCAUUGAUGCCCGAGUGGCUUUGGCGUCGCUCAUCCUUGAAGAUGCUAAAGAAGAUGAGGCUAUUUCUUUGCUUUCUCCUCCCAAAGAUUUGGAUUCUCUCGAUUCUAAUUCCUACAUGCAAAACCCAUGGUGGCUUAAUGGGAAAAUAAAACUAAAGCUUUGCCACAUAUAUAAAGCCAAAGGGAUGCUUGAAGACUUUGUUAAUACAAUAUCACCCUUGGUCCGUGAGUCACUCUAUGUAAAAACCCUUCGUCCAAAGGUGAAGAAAAGGCUGACAAUAAGUGUUCUGCGUGAAAGAAUCAGUAUUCUGAAUGUUCAGGAAAAUGAUGAUGUUUUUGGAGAAGUGAGACCACUGGCUUCUAAAUCAGAUCUAUUGAGAGCUUGCAGAGCAAGAAAGUUGCUUCAAAAGAAGGAAGAACAGAAAGCAGCUGAUAAAGCUGCUGGUAUUGAUUUGCCUAGUGACUAUUCAGAUGAUGAAUCUCUGCUAGAAAACAGAGUUUCUCCUCUGCAUGAUUUUUUAAAGGACGAAGCGCAUCAUGAUCUUAUUAUAGAUUUGUGCAAGGCAUUGCAAUCGUUGCAAAGAUAUUCUGAAGCUCUGGAGAUUAUAAAUCUCACCCUGAGAUUGGUUUCUGAUAAACUGCCUGGUGAUAGGGAGGAGCAACUUCAGUCUCUUUUAGCUCAAAUAUCUUUUAACGCCACGGAUCCUAAACAUGGUUUUGAUUAUGUAAGAUCUGCUAUUCAGAAACAGCCGCACAGCAUUGCUGCCUGGAACUGUUAUUACAAAAUAACCUCAAGAUUGGGAAAGAGCCACUCAAAGCAUGCCAAAUUUCUACGUUACAUGCGAAACAAACAUAAAAGGUGUGUUCCACCUAUAGUCAUUUCUGCUCAUCAGUUUACCAUGCUCAGCCAUCAUCAAGAUGCUGCAAGAGAAUACCUAGAAGCUUAUAAACUGAUGCCAGAAUGUCCUCUAAUUAAUCUGUGUGCGGGAACUGCCUUGAUCAACUUGACCCUUGGAUUUAGACUCCAAAAUAAGCACCAGUGUCUUGCACAAGGCUUGGCAUUCCUCUAUAAUAAUUUACAGCUAACAGAGAAUAGCCAGGAGGCAUUAUAUAAUAUCGCCCGCGCCUAUCAUCAUGUUGGACUAGUGUCUCUAGCAGCUUCAUAUUAUGAAAAGGUGCUUGCAGCUUGCGAGAAGGAUUACCCCAUUCCGAAACUUCUGAAUGAGAAUUCAGAAAUGGAAAAUAUGAAACCAGGUUACUGUGACCUGCGCAGAGAAGCUGCUUAUAAUUUGCAUUUAAUAUACAAAAACAGUGGAGCAUUUGAUCUUGCUAGGCAGCUCUUGAAAAACCACUGCACUUUCUGACUAAACAUCCUCGACACUGACAUCAACUGGUUUGCAAGAAUUGCAGGUCUUCUUUUUUGCACAUAUAGCUCUCUAAACCGAACAUUAGAGAAGAGGAUUUGUCAACAGAAACUUUACUACCAUUUAGCAAACUGGGUAUGCCUCUUCGAGCUACAGCAAGCGUGCAUGUGGCAAUAUGCUAGAUGACAAACAAUUCUAAAAUAAUAUGCUUUUAAUUUUUUUAAAAAAAUAAAACUUACAUUCUUUUGUAUUAAUUCAACUUACACUCUUGGAGGUGCAAUCUUUGACAAUUGUUUUUUAAUUAUUAUUAUUAUUAUUAUUA